CAACAGGCUGAACGCUGCACAGAGAAGCACACAAAGAAAAAUGAUUUCCUCUUGUAUAAGCAAUGUCAGCAUUAGUUAGGAUCAGGGGUGUCAGACUUAGGGGGCCGAGUACACAGAAAUAUGCUAGGAUGAGUAGCUGUGGAUGUGGGGAGGGGCCCAUAGAGAAUUCCUUUGUACAGGACCCAGAAUGUUGUGUUAAGCCCCUGCUUCCCUGUCCAAUCC